UACGUAGGGAGCAAGCGUUGUUCGGAUUCAUUGGGCGUAAAGGGUGCGUAGGCGGCGCGGUAAGUCGGGUGUGAAAUCUCGGAGCUUAACUCCGAAACUGCAUUCGAUACUGCCGUGCUUGAGGACUGGAGAGGAGACUGGAAUUUACGGUGUAGCGGUGAAAUGCGUAGAUAUCGUAAGGAAGACCAGUGGCGAAGGCGGGUCUCUGGACAGUUCCUGACGCUGAGGCACGAAGGUCAGGGGAGCAAACGGG
rnacentral:rRNA from 1 species